AUGGACAUGAGGGCCCUUGCUCGGCUCCUUGGGAUCCUGUUAUUUUGGUUACCAGGUGCCAGAUGUGACAUCCAGAUGACCCAGUCUCCAUCCUCCCUGUCUGCAUCUCUAGGAGACAGAGUCACUAUCACUUGCCAGGCCAGUCAGAACGUUGGCUAUAGUUUAAACUGGUACCAACAGAAACCAGGGAAAGCUCCUAAGCGCCUGAUUUAUGGUGCAGAUAGCUUGGCAGAUGGGGUCCCAUCUAGGUUCAGUGGCAGUGGGUCUGGGACAGAUUUUUCUCUCACCAUCAGCAGCGUGGAGUCUGAAGACUUUGCAACUUAUUAUUGUCUGCAACAUUAUAGUACCCCUCCCACAGUGAUACAAGUCAUAACAUAA